AGCGAACGCUGGCGGCAGGCUUAACACAUGCAAGUCGAGCGGGCAUCUUCGGAUGUCAGCGGCAGACGGGUGAGUAACACGUGGGAACGUACCCUUCGGUUCGGAACAACUCUGGGAAACUGGAGCUAAUACCGGGUACGCCCUUAUGGGGAAAGGUUUACUGCCGAAGGAUCGGCCCGCGUCUGAUUAGCUAGUUGGUGGGGUAACGGCCUACCAAGGCGACGAUCAGUAGCUGGUCUGAGAGGAUGAUCAGCCACACUGGGACUGAGACACGGCCCAGACUCCUACGGGAGGCAGCAGUGGGGAAUAUUGGACAAUGGGCGCAAGCCUGAUCCAGCCAUGCCGCGUGAGUGAUGAAGGCCUUAGGGUUGUAAAGCUCUUUUGUCCGGGACGAUAAUGACGGUACCGGAAGAAUAAGCCCCGGCUAACUUCGUG
rnacentral:rRNA from 1 species